AUUUGAUGCUGUGGGCAUCUAGUGUACAACUUAUUAAACCUUUCCCAAUAGUCAUACAAAGACUCAUCGGGAUACUAUUUAAUGCUGCAUAUCUCUUUCCUCAAACU